GUGAACGCUGGCGGUAGGCCUAACACAUGCAAGUCGAACGGCAGCACAGUAAGAGCUUGCUCUUACGGGUGGCGAGUGGCGGACGGGUGAGGAAUACAUCGGAAUCUACUUUUUCGUGGGGGAUAACGUAGGGAAACUUACGCUAAUACCGCAUACGACCUACGGGUGAAAGCAGGGGAUCUUCGGACCUUGCGCGAUUGAAUGAGCCGAUGUCGGAUAGCUAGUUGGCGGGGUAAAGGCCCACCAAGGCGACGAUCCGUAGCUGGUCUGAGAGGAUGAUCAGCCACACUGGAACUGAGACACGGUCCAGACUCCUACGGGAGGCAGCAGUGGGGAAUAUUGGACAAUGGGCGCAAGCCUGAUCCAGCCAUACCGCGUGGGUGAAGAAGGCCUUCGGGUUGUAAAGCCCUUUUGUUGGGAAAGAAAAGCAGCAGGUUAAUACCCCGCUGUUCUGACGGUACCCAAAGAAUAAGCACCGGCUAACUUCGUG
rnacentral:rRNA from 1 species